UUUUUUUUUUUUUUAAAAAUCUGUUCCCUUUGCCCUUUAAACUGCAGAAUUUUUUUUUGGAGGCCCAUGAGGAUUCCUCUGCUGCUGUAGCACUCAUUGCUUCUCCAAAGGGUUCAAGUCAAGGAGGUUAUGCCAUCGUUGCUGUGUUUGCCUGGGAUGCAAGUACUCCUCCCUUGCUUUCAAGUUCAUGCAAAGAGCCAUAAACCACUGCUGGCCCUUCAUGUUCUCCCCUUAUCUUUUGCUCAGUAUUACUUUAUUGUUUGCCACAUGUAUUUGACUGUAUUUAUUUUCUAUGGACUCAGAUAUUUAUGAAACAUUCUGCCUAAACUCCCUCCUUCUAUUUUAGAUUCUGUAUUAUGUUAAUCUUGUCAGGAGCCUAAGCAGCUGGCUUCAAUUUCAGUGAACAUCCCGCUCUCCCUCAAAGGUUAAUGCUAGUUUUUGUGGGAGUUUCUCUCAACAUUUUCUUUCAGAUGCCAGCCACAGAGACUCUGUAAAUCAUCAACAUCCCCCCCGCAUUCAGAUUGAUCUAAGGCAUGUAAGGAAAUACUUCUGGGUUUUUGUUUGUGUUUGGUAGCACAUACAGUUCUGUUUCUUUUUAUUUUCAUUCAGAUUUGUCUAAGACAGUUUCUUUACCACCUUUGUCCAAACAAAAUGAACAAUAUUGAAAACAGCAUUUCAGAAUUGGAUAUUGCAAGGAGCAAAGCAAUCUUGCCACCUUUUUUUUUUUCCUGGCACCCGUUGUUUACAGCUCCAGAGGCUAUUUAAAGUAAACUUGCUUCAUAGCUGAGAAGUUGGUUGAUGAACAGUAGAGUCAUAUUUACAAGAAAGCUGCCUAAGGACAAUUCCAAGCAAAGGAGGAGAAAAAGACCUUUCCUGAUUACCAUGAGUUUAAACUCCUGUAUUGUAACCUUGAGAAUUCUGUUAUUCCCAUCCCUCAGCAACUUACACUUCAGACAGCAGCUGAAUGGUGGAGCUUUGUUGAUGGUUGUAAUCGUUGCUAGGGGACAGUCUGAGGGAGGUGAAUCAUGCCAUUUACAGUCAGCCUAAAGGGACAUUUGGAAAUGCUUGAGCUUAGAAAUUUCCUUCUGUGGUCUGCGUUGCUGAGAGUUGACUGCUUUAUAGCUGUGAAGAGUGCUUUAGAAAUACACACGAUGAUAAUGGAGGCAUGAAACAUCCUGGUGUCUUUAGAUGCUUGUACCUUUGUAUGUGUUUUAAAUGGUUGUUCUGGUGCUUCUUACUUCUUUGAGAACUGUGUUUUUAGUUAAAAGCUGACUGAGUGCAAAUGGUAUGAAAAGAAAGUUGUUGUGAAUCACGUUAAAAUUAAAUACUUACAAUGCAA
rnacentral:lncRNA from 1 species